AAUCUUCAAAUUUAACAUUUUCAACUUGGAAAUUUGAAGAAUAUGCUAUUAGAAAGGCGUUGAUUCACAUGAUAAUCGUGGGUGAGCUACCUUUUGGAAUUAUA